rnacentral:rRNA from 1 species
AGUGAACGCUGGCGGUAGGCCUAACACAUGCAAGUCGAACGGCAGCACAGUAAGAGCUUGCUCUUACGGGUGGCGAGUGGCGGACGGGUGAGGAAUACAUCGGAAUCUACUUUUUCGUGGGGGAUAACGUAGGGAAACUUACGCUAAUACCGCAUACGACCUACGGGUGAAAGCAGGGGAUCUUCGGACCUUGCGCGAUUGAAUGAGCCGAUGUCGGAUUAGCUAGUUGGCGGGGUAAAGGCCCACCAAGGCGACGAUCCGUAGCUGGUCUGAGAGGAUGAUAAGCGACCCUGGAACUGGGACACGGUCCAGACUCCUACGGGAGGCAGCAGUGGGGAAUAUUGGACAAUGGGCGCAAGCCUGAUCUAGCCAUACCGCGUGGGUGAAGGAGGCCUUCGGGUUGUAAAGCCCUUUUGUUGGGAAAGAAAAGCAGCAGGUUAAUACCCCGCUGUUCUGACGGUAACCAAAGAAUAAGCACCGGCUAACUUCGUG